rnacentral:lncRNA from 1 species
UGUGUUUCGUUUGCUGUCUGAUGAUCCCUGUAACUCUGUGUCCCUUAGCAUCUGCUGUGUUAUCUGAUUGGUUUGUUGACUGUGUAAUUUCUCACCUUGGGACCCUCUUUGCCUGGAUGACCAAUAGGACCCCGCAAGCCUUGAUCGCCCUGAAUAGAGAGAUCAAUUACAGACACAGACUCACAAAACCAUUUGUUUCACUGCAUACAGACAAAUCGUUGUUAUUAUCGUUCACUUUAAUCAUUUUAUGCUCUGAUGGCUGAUUAAAGACUCAAUUGAGUGCUGUGUUCAUGUGGCUUUACAAGCGUUUAAAGGUGUGUUUGCAGACGACAGCAGAAACGGUUGAAUGACGGCCGGAUAAUGGGCAUCUGUGUGGGGGCGUGUCUCCUACCUUCUCCCCAUCGAUGCCCUGCACUCCUGGCAACCCGGGUGAUCCCUUUUCACCCUUCUGCCCAGGCAGACCUGGCACUCUCAUCUGGCAAACACUGCAGGCAUUCUGCCAAGCAGCACACACACACACACACACACACACACACAGCAGGGUCAGACAUCAGUACUGGAAAACCAUUGUUGGCUGACCGAGUGUGGGAAGGCUGUUGUUGUGCCCCUCUGGUACAGAGGGCAGGGUUCGUCCUGAGUUGUAAUGGUCUCUUCGCUAGUAAAGAGCUGGAAGUGAUGCAGUCAUGCAGGGGUGGUGGACCUCAGGGGGAAGAACCUUGCCACAUGCAAUUGCACCAAAGACAAGCCUUUAUCCGUUGGACAGAAAGACAUUUAUGAAGUCUUAACAGUAAUUGUGCUCCGACUGAAUGCAUGUUGCGCAUGAAGAAAAGAGGCAUGCGGGGGCGGAGGAAGCGGAGACAAGAGCAACACAUUUACGGAGGCCCAGAAUUAAAUGCAAGUUUAGACAGACGAUGGCAGACAAAGGGCAAGAGCCGGUUUCUAAAGUCUGAUCACCGCUGUCCAUGCUGAAUUGAAUAAUAUACUUGCAGCCAGCAUUUCUGCCCUUUCCCACCUACUCUCCUUCAUUUCCAGCUGCAGUUUCGGCUGGAUCCUGCGGAAGGCGCUGUGGGGCUGUCGCUGAAUCAGAGACUGAUAUGUACUUGAGCCAAACUAUACAGAAAGAAGACUCACAAACUUCUCUACUCACUGAAAACCUUUUUUUCCCGCUACUUCCUGAAGCCAGUGUAAAAUACGGAGGGGGUUUGGGGGGGGGGUAAUUAUAACUUUUCUGCCGCACUCAAGUGAAGUAUUACUUAGUAACCAGCUCUUUCAUCUUCUGUGUCAUUCAAGACUAAGGAAGGACAUACAGAAGUGAAAAACAACAACCGUGGGUGACUUCAUCUUCAUUACCGCAAAAACACAUUGAUCCACGAGUAAUGGCAUCUGCACAGAUUUAGAAAAAUAAGUUUGGGUGAGUUUUUUUACCUUCAGCAAAGUGCUCACAUCUCCAACAAUCGGCAGUGCUGUCUGAAAAACAAGAUGAUGCAUUAUCACGAGUUUUUUUAUUGGGCAAGAUGCAUGCAUUCUCUCACAGUGACUGUGGUUUACACAGACAGCUAUAUUGACCUUAUUUUAAAUGAGAUAAGUACUUUAAAGUGUUUACAUGAGUUACUCAUGGAGUUAUGGUUCUAGCCAAGUGGGUAAAACACUGGUCUAUGAACCAGAAGACCCUAAAGUCCCAGGUUCAAACCCCA